GCUGGCAUGUGUCGACUCUGGGGACCCACCUUGGGAGCCCCAGGAUGGAAGGAGCCCAGGCACUUGAAUCACACCGAGGAGGAGAGCUGUCCAGCCAGAAGUAUCCGCCUUGGACCGUUACAGAUCAAGACAGAACCUUUGAGUAUGUAAAGCUGCUACGAUGUGGGGAUCUUCCCGUGAGAGCAGCCAGCACCCUCUUAGCCAAUUUUCCAGAGCCUUGGUUCUGCUCGCCUUCCCAGAGAGCGUGAUGUGAACCCCAAAGCACCAGACCCAGGAGAAUGAAAAGGAGGCUUCCAGAGAGGCAGGCCUACCUACUUCUGAGCCUUCAGGACUUUUCUUCCCUGCAAUUUGUGUUCCACCUCCAGGAAGUGUGGAGGGACCUUGGAAACCAUUUUCUUUAUAUGACUUAGAGAGCAGAAUUCAGUUCCGGCACCAAGAACACACCUCACCGAAGGGUAAACUCAUAAAGUGAAACAUUUGUUUUCAGACUGAUUGUGGGAAGAGACCAAAGUAAUUAGCCAAAAAGAGUGAACGAUAGGAUUUUUAUGUAGUUUUGUUGCUGCAAAUAAGUAGGCAAAACAAGCAUUGCCUGCCAGAAAUCCUCAAAAGCUUGAUUUUGUGACUACAGAAGAGAAAAGAAUGCACCACGAGAUGGACCAGAGCUAUCAGUCCCAUAAAGGCAGGAAUCAACACUAACUCAGACCUGUAACCAACAGCCUGUGAUCAAGCUGGAAUCCAUUCUUAAGAGACUUGAUCUCCAAUCACUGGGCGUCUCAGAACUGGCUCCAGUUUGGAACUUGGGCUACUGAUCAUGAGUUUCAACUGGGACCUCAGGUGACUGGAAACUCUGACAGCCUGUGGGUUCACCCUGGACACCUGGCACUCAGAAGACAGUGGAUGUUUAUUGAAGGAGUAAAUGAGUUCCGUUUAUGAAAUUGUAACUUUGUUCCCUGUUACCGGCCAUUAAGCAAUCGGUUUGCUUUUGAAUUUCUAUUACCAAAGUAUCAAAUGUAUAUCUGCAUCUACAUCUAUAUCUAUAUACUCCUGUUUAUAGCAGCAUUAUUUACAAUAGCCAAAAGGUGGAAGUGACCCACCAGUGUCGACCCACCAGUGAACACCACUGACAGAUGAAUGGAUAAAAUUACGGUUAUACAAACAAUGGAGUAUCAUCAACCUGAAAGGGAAAGACCAUGUGACAUGUCCUUGGAUAACCUUGAGCACAUUUGGAUGGGCCAAAUAGGACAAAUAUCGUCCUAUUCCACUUAAUGGGAGGCGCUUAUAUUCAUAGAGACAGCGAGGGGGAGAGAAGAAUGGGGAUUCGGUGUUUGAGUUUCCGUUUGGGAAGACGAGAAAGUUCUGGAGACGGAUGAUGGUGAUGGUUGCACCGUAACGCGAAUGUGUUUAAUGCCACUGAACAUCACACUUAAAAAUG